rnacentral:rRNA from 1 species
CCUACGGGGGGCAGCAGUGGGGAAUAUUGCACAAUGGGCGCAAGCCUGAUGCAGCCAUGCCGCGUGUGUGAAGAAGGCCUUCGGGUUGUAAAGCACUUUCAGCGGGGAGGAAGGCGUUAAGGUUAAUAACCUUGUCGAGUGACGUUACCCGCAGAAGAAGCACCGGCUAACUCCGUGCCAGCAGCCGCGGUAAUACGGAGGGUGCAAGCGUUAAUCGGAAUUACUGGGCGUAAAGCGCACGCAGGCGGUCUGUCAAGUCGGAUGUGAAAUCCCCGGGCUCAACCUGGGAACUGCAUUCGAAACUGGCAGGCUAGAGUCUUGUAGAGGGGUGUAGAAUGCCAGGUGUAGCGGUGAAAUGCGUAGAGAUCUGGAGGAAUACCGGUGGCGAAGGCGGCCCCCUGGACAAAGACUGACGCUCAGGUGCGAAAGCGUGGGGAGCAAACAGGAUUAGAUACCCGGGUAGUC